CACAAAGGCAAUGUGACUCUUACAACGGCUGUGUGCUGUCGUCACUUAGGCUUUGCUGCUUCAUCCUUGGACAUGCAGGAGGGCCAAACUGUGGUCACAGCUCCGGUGACCAUCUAGAUCUGACCAUGGACCACGUGGAGAAGGCUGGGCAAUAAUUUUUGAUGGAAGGGCCACUCUAAGAUUUUGAUAGUACUGUGGAGCUGUGCCGAUUCUCUCUCCCCCACCCCUGCCACACAACGGGCGGGACCAGCAAGACACGUAAGCACGUGAUUUGCUUUUGGCAUGUGACUGGUCCCAUUGACUUCAAUGAGAAUACUCAUACAUAAAAUGCGGUGUGUGCGUCGCUGG